CCUACGGGGUGCUGCAGUGAGGAAUAUUGGUCAAUGGGCGCGAGCCUGAACCAGCCAAGUAGCGUGAAGGAUGACUGCCCUACGGGUUGUCAACUUCUUUUAUAAAGGAAUAGAGUGAGGCACGUGUGCCUUUUUGUAUGUACUUUAUGAAUAAGGAUCGGCUAACUCCGUGCCAGCAGCCGCGGUACUACGGAGGAUACGAGCGUUAUCCGGAUUUAUUGGGUUUAAAGGGAGCGUAGAUGGGUUGUUAAGUCAGUUGUGAAAGUUUGCGGCUCAACCGUCAAAUUGCAAUUGAUACUGGCAGCCUUGAGUACAGUUGAGGUAGGCGGAAUUCGUGGUGUAGCGGUGAAAUGCUGAGAUAUCACGAAGAACUCCGAUUGCGAAGGCAGCUUACUAAACUGCCACUGACAUUGAUGCUCGAAAGUGUGGGUAUCAAACAGGAUUAGAUACCCCAGUAGUC
rnacentral:rRNA from 1 species